rnacentral:tRNA from 1 species
GAGGGUGUAGCUCAAGAGGUAGAGUGCAUGCCUAGCAUGCAUGAGGUCCUGCAUUCAAUCCCCAGUACCUCCC